rnacentral:tRNA from 1 species
GCUGGCCAGAGCGGGUGACUCGUAAUCACCAGGUCGCGGGUUCAAAUCCCGCCGGCG